CAAGCAAAAAAAAAAAGGUUCACCACAGUUGAUGUGUAAAGACAGUAAAAACAGGGGUUUACCCCAGUUGAUGAACGGGUCAAAUAAACGGGUUUUUGGAAUAAAUGUGAUCCGGAUCACUCGUUCACCUUAAUGACCCGUUCAAUUCGAACGGGUCAUGACCGAACGACACAUCUCUAAGCGACACUGGAUUUCGACCGAUUCAAAGUAGCUCUCAUUUCAAUUGCAAAUUGCAAAUAGAAGAUUCAUCAUUUCAAGACGUUUGAGGUUUUAUUCUUGAGACAUGAAUGAACAAAGCCUGCAUUGGAGUAAUUCCAACAUUGAAUUGUGAGAUAAAGAUUGGACGUCAACUACAGUAACUACUUCAAAAUAUAUAAACAAUUCACUAAAGUUUAUUUCAUCAAUUCAAUUCUAUAUAAGCUUAUCGAUGCAUCUUUUGUGAUACUUCAAAAUGUAUAUACAAUUUACUAGUGUUUAUUCCAUCAAUUCGAUUUUAUAUAAGCUUAUAAAUUCAUUUAUUGUAAUACUUGAAGAAAUAUAUAUAUAUAUAUAUUCACUAAUGUGUUUUUCAUCAAAUUAUUCAUGUGAUUGAAAGAUAUCACUAAUCUUCCUCAUUAUGUUUCACUUCUAAAGUUCAACUAUAGUAAACAAAUGAUCAUAUUCCUCAUUUACUUAGUUGAAUUUAUUCUAUUGCCAAAGUGAAAACAACUUAUCCUGGUCAUCUAUAAGUGAUUUAUGAUGAAUGCUAAAAGUGGGAAACUAUUAUCCCACUGCUCUAUAAGUACCAAUAUGAUGGAAUCCAUAAGAUUCCUUUAUAGGGCAGUGGGACAAUAAUUUCCCACCUCAAAACUCUAUGAAAAAUAAGUAUU